CCACCACACCACACCCGGCUGCCCUGAUCCCCACCUCCUCCCUCGAUUCCCUCCGCCAAACGCCAGAUCUCGCCGCCGACGCCCCCACGAUCGGCCUCGCCGCUGCCACUCCUCCUCCGCCGUCAAUGCGCUCCCUCCCCACGGCCGGCGCGCUCCCACCCGACGGCUGGCGCGGUCCCUCCCCGGCCGGCGCGCUCCCUUCCCGCGGCUGGCACGGUCCCUCCCUGCAGCCGGCGCCCAUCCUCCUCCGCGACCGGCGCGGUCCCUCCCUGCUGCAACCCGCCAAUGCUCCUCCGCGGCCGGUGCGGUCCGUCCCGGCUGCAGCCUGCUAAUUCUCCUCCGCGAUCAGCACGGUUCCUCACCGCUGCAGCCCGCCCCUCCUCCAUAGAUGGCCUGCACCGGCCGCUACAGCCCAUCCAGGUGGUGGCCGUCAUCCUCGAUCCCGAUCCACAUCUGCCUGGGCUUCUAUGGCUGACCUGCCCAAUCACCGAUGGAUUCCUUCUCCAAAUAGUACAAGAGCUACUCCCGCUCUGCCUCCGACCUCCCUCCUCCCCCACACGGCGAGUGUACUGCUCCCUACAACGCCCAUACCAUUCUUUCUCCCCUGGAUGCAUCUGGUCUCUCUUCAAUUACCGGUCAGCACCAACGCUGCGAACAAAAAAAGGGCCCUGUGAUAGGGCAUCCAUCUUUUUUCAUCGAAGUCGCUGUCGUCCAUCUGCGUCGAGGCCACCCUGCCAGUGUAAAAUUCUGCUCUCAAAGGUGUCUGUUAUUGUGUAGAAAUCCUUCAGGAAAAAAUGCAAAAGAAAAAUGGAGCAGGAGUCGGAGGCCUCAAGCCCUCUCUCCACUUCGUGGCUUCUUGUUCUCAAAGCACAAGCUGCUCUUGCUACUAUUAGUAAACUACUUCUGCUCACUAUAAUGGGCUGAGGGGCGUUGCCCAACUACGUGGAUGCUCGCCUGCUCACCGAGCGUCGCUGUAGUCCACCCCGAAGCCGUCAGCAGGAGGAGCUUGCACCAGUCCCGCCUCUCCUUCGUCCAGUGCUCCAAGAGGCCAGGGCAGAAAAACCGGUCAUCUUCUGAUGAGCCCUGCCCCAACAGGAACCUCUCCCUACCUCUGUCAGCUACUAAUGGGCACCAUAGUGUGAAGUUGAUGUAGAGAACAAGUUCUGAUUAUGUGCUCUGUACAUGCUUGUUGAUAUGUCAAUGAGAACCAACUUUUUUUCUUCAGGUUGUUGCGAUGACGCUUGAUAGUUAAUAGUUUUGCAA